rnacentral:rRNA from 1 species
UACGUAGGGUGCAAGCGUUGUCCGGAAUUAUUGGGCGUAAAGAGCUCGUAGGCGGUUUGUUGCGUCGGCUGUGAAAUCCCGAGGCUCAACCUCGGGUCUGCAGUCGAUACGAGCAAACUAGAGUGUUGCAGGGGAGACUGGAAUUCCUGGUGUAGCGGUGAAAUGCGUAGAUAUCAGGAGGAACACCGAUGGCGAAGGCAGGUCUCUGGGCUGACACUGACGCUCAUGCACGAAAGCGUGGGGAGC